GAUAAUAUGAACUGAUUGUUAUCAAUCAAUAUACAACAGAUGGGAACGUAUUUAAAGUGAUUCAGAAAUUUGUCCCGAGGAUCACUAUGGGCAAGACUGUGUCCAGCAGUGUUCCUGUGGCUCAGGACAGUGUGACCUGGUGACUGGAGGGUGCCAAUGUCCACCUGGCCAAAUGGGAGCCAGGAGUCAGCAAGAAGCCCAUUGAAAGCUGCAAGAAAAAUGGGAGACAGAAAGCAAAACAUGAUCUUUGUUUAAAACUACAAAACUUUCUUGCUCUAAAUCAUAUUAUCACAGUAAUAAUCAUAAUAGAAGAACUCUCAAGUUCAGUGAAAUGAAAUGCAGAAAGCCACUUCUCCAUAGCACACACAGAGACAAAACCAAUGACCUUUUGUUAGAAAAGAAGGGUUGGUUAAAAAAAAAAAAAAAAAAAGAAGGGUUGGUUGCAUGAGCAUCCUGCAGGAGCUACCUUAAACCCUUCUGGACAUCACAAAGUUGCAGGAAAAAUGGG
rnacentral:lncRNA from 1 species